rnacentral:lncRNA from 1 species
UCUCGGCUGGGCACCUGCUCCCCAGGAGGCCGCGGCUGGAGGAAGCCCCGUCGUCCUCACGCUCUCAGGAGUCGGCCAGGUGCCGGUGUCCCCGGCACAGCUUCCACUUCUUCCAAAGGACUCCCAGCCCUGAGGAAAGGGUUCUGACAGGCAGCUUAACUCUUCGAUGCCUAAAAGCUCCCAAAUAUUAUUGGUUUGUGUUGGUGGGGAAAACGUCUUUCCUGGAAGUUCUCUAUCCUGCCGAUGACAUCACUAUUCCCACACUCGCACACAUAUCUGCGCAGUCACACACACAGAGCCUGCCCCAUCCAUGCAUCUCUAUCAACUUAAAUGCACGUCAGAGGAAGUUCACACGGACACGUUUGCACGUGGUCUACAAAUGGAGCGACAGAGAGAUGGAGAGUAAGAAAAUUCAGACUGGGGGAAGAACCUUAGACUCUGGGCCUAAAGAAGCAGGCUUCAGGUCCAGCUCUGCUACCCAGUAGCCCAAGAGGGAAAGACCAACGGCAGUGAACUCACGGCCCCCCCGCCAAUCCCCAGGCAAUGGGAUGCGAUGGAG